CCCCCUCAAAAUAAGCUCUUCUAAUUGGUCCACGAGUUGCUCCAAUUUUAUUUCUCGUGAGUUGAGUCGUGAGUCGAGUGAGUUGAAGCCGUAGACAUCGGACUGACAGGUGGAACUCUUCAAGAAUGUCUAGAAGACAGUUCAUAAUGCGGUGCAAAAGCACAUUUAAUGACUGUAUGAGAUUGCUUGAAACAGAUGCUGUAGACGUCCAAUCUACAUUGACCAGGUAGGUUUUGGGAAUUUUCCAGCCAACAUGUAAAGGACAUUGCUCAAGAAUUUAAAUUUUAGCCUAAAGGCUACUCCUUCCACACUAAAGGCCGUGUUCACAUCUAGCGUUUUUUUUAAUCUGCCAGCGUUUAUUUUAUAUUAUAUUCCUAUGGAGCAGAGCGUUUCUGGAAAAAGUCACGGCCGUUUUUUUUUUUUUGUGUGGACGGGGCCUAAUAAGUUAUAAAGUAACCGUUCCUUAGAUGGGUAUCGUUAUCCAGUCACUUCUGGCGUGGGUGGAACUUUAGGAUUCCAAGAAUGAAUGUUAACAACUUAUUUUGUGACAAGCAGUUUAUUAUUUUCUAUGUUCAUUGCAAACCAAAAUUCAUGAAAUAAUUCUGCCCAUGCAAAACUCGCGUCGUUUAGUGACAGUUGUCGCUCAUAAUAGCUCCAUGCUGUCGCUUAUCUGCACUGAUCCCACCACUUUACUGUUCCCCCUAAAACGAAAAAAGGGUGUUCUGAAUUCCCCUAUAUAUAUAUAUUUGCUUGCGUGUUAAUUCGCUCAGGCAGAUAUUAAUGCGCCCUUACCACUAGGUGUGGGGUAGCUUCACAGUUUCACACUUACCAUUUUUUUCCUAAUUUCACGAAACCUUUCAAACUUUCAGGUUGGAAACCAUGGAGAGGACCCUAGUGUGGUCACGGGGAAGGCUGCUUGACAUCUCCUCAGCUGAUCUUAUAAUUCGAGAUGUUCGGGAGAUUAUAGCUGAAGUUCGGAGAUCUGUGCCUACCACUCCGGGACAACAAGGCUACCAGGCACCUCUCAUUUGGACCGGAGGUCGUGGUCCCCCACAGUUAAAAAUAUCACAGGAGCAACUGUGUUUUUUGAGGACCUGUGGUUUCACUGGGAAACAGAUGGCACAGAUUCUGGGUGUCUCUGUUCGUACACUGAGCCGUCGUUUAAGGUAUGUUUC
rnacentral:lncRNA from 1 species